rnacentral:tRNA from 3 species
GCCGGUGUAACUCAGGGGUAGAGUAGCUGAUUUGUAAUCAGUCUGUCGCAGGUUCAAAUCCUGUCACCGGCU